GAAGGUAUAGCUCAGUGGUAGAGCGCAUGCCUAACAUGCAUGAGGUCCUGGGUUCAAUCCCCAGUAUCUCUA
rnacentral:tRNA from 1 species